GCGAGAGCGAGUGAGAGAGAAAACGAGUGGGAAAGAGAGAGAAAGGGAGAGAGAGAGAGAGACUAUCACGACCGGACGAAGAGGAUAUAUCGAUCGAUCGCUCGCAAACUCCUGCGAGCGAAGAAGUUCCUCCUUCUCCGUUCGAAGAAGACUUCUUCGUCGGUUCCCUCGGCUUCGAAGGGACGAACGGAUCGGAGAACCUUUCGUCUUCAGGUUCGCGAGGAUUCCGUCCGUUAGCGAGGAUUCGCGCCGUAUUAACCGCGUACGAUCAUCGUAAACCCCUCAUUCCCUCAUUUUACUCCUCCUUCUCCGUUUUUAGAUUUCUUUCUUUCUUGUAUUUCGUACGUGUAUUACCCCCACCCUUAUACUUCGGUCACUAUAAACUAACCAACCCUCCCACCCAUAAAGCGUUCGAGAUUUCGUUCGAAAAAUCGAAAAGAGAGGACGGAAGAGAGUAAUGUGCGACCCGGCGAAAAUCGAUGCUCCACCUCUGAACCUUCUUCGUCUUCGAGGAGCGCGGGAGCGCAAGGAAGACGGAAAUAUCGCGCGUUACUUUCGCGGCUCUCUUCGAAGGAGGAGGAACGUUGUCGUAUCCGUAGCUGUAUCCGUUGCCGUGCGAUAUCUCGCCGAAAGCUAGUUCGCCGAACUCCGAAAAAAUCGAGUGAUUUUCUAGGAAAUACAGAAAAACGAAAAAGGAUAUAGGAAUCAAUAAAGCUUGUUGUUUUGGUUAAACGUAUUCAAGUUCUUGCCGGCGGCAUACGGUAAAGGACGUUCUUGUUUUUAAUCGGAACGCACGUUUUUCCACACGCGCGACAGAAAGAGAGAGAGAGAGAGAGAGAGAGAGAGAGACAGAGAGAGAGAGAGAGAGAGAGAGAACAAGUGAGGAGCAAGAGGAGACAAGAAGAGAAGAAGAGAGGAGAGUUUACUUCCCUUAUCUUCGAUCUCGAUCAUCAACCACGGGAGAAGUGUCAAGUGUAACGGUGAAACGGUAACGGUGCGUUAACGCUCUUAUUUAUUAUUUCGAAGUGAUAAGUGAGAAAAAGAAAGAAAUAAAAAAAAGAUAGUAGGAACGGGUGAAUAGAUAGGUGGGGAUGGAGGGGAUUGAGAAGGAAAAGAUAAAGUAAGUAAACAACCUUUAGUUUAGCGGAGAGAAAAGUAGAGAGAGAAAGAAGACUUUAGGAGAAUCGUCGAAUGCACCCAAUCAAAUACAGGUUCGCCGAGUUUGAGGAUAACAAUGACGAGGAUGAUUAUGAUGACGACGACGACGACGAUGACGACGAUUAUGAUGAUGAUGAUCAUGAUGAUGAUGAUGAUAGUGAUGACGACGAUGACAAUGAUGAUAAUGGUAACAACAUUGAUAACGAUGACAACGACGAUUAGGAGAACGACGGAAAGAGACACAAACGUUUGAGUAACUACCAGCGCACGAGUUGGGACGACGCUCUCAACUUCCGAGCUUCGAGCGGGAGACGCGUUACAGCGAGAAAUUCCCGCGCAGGAGAGGAAGACUGGACAAAGCGGAAGAAGCAGAAUAGGACGAGCAAAGCGGAAGAAGAAGCGGAGGAGUGCGAGUGCGGAAGAAGAAGAAGA